CAGCAGCCGCGGGAAUACGUAGGGUGCGAGCGUUAAUCGGAAUUACUGGGCGUAAAGCGUGCGCAGGCGGUUGUGUAAGACAGGUGUGAAAUCCCCGGGCUUAACCUGGGAACUGCGCUUGUGACUGCACAGCUAGAGUAUGGCAGAGGGGGGUGGAAUUCCACAUGUAGCAGUGAAAUGCGUAGAGAUGUGGAGGAACACCGAUGGCGAAGGCAGCCCCCUGGGCCAAUACUGACGCUCAUGCACGAAAGCGUGGGGAGCAAACAGGAUUAGAUACCCGGGUAGUCCCUGUCUCUUAUAC
rnacentral:rRNA from 1 species